CAUUUUAGGUAUGUGUGUGUGAAACAUCAGAACUGAAUAAUGGACCAGAGAAUUCAGAGAUCUUUGGUUACCUGUUUCCGGUUUCGUCGGUUCACACUUCACAUUGCUGCGUUCCUGACCUAGCUUCGCCUGCAUCAGUAGAUCAUAUUAUAAUAUGCAUUAUAGACUAUAGUUAUACAGCUUGAAUUUGAAAGAGCUACAUGGUCGUUGUUUCGAGUGCUUUUUCAUCUGCUGUGAUGAAUUGGCAGACAGCAUCAACGGUUACCAACAUAAUAGGUGCAUUGCAAGUUGUGCAAUGCUGAAUGCAUACGUUUCGUCAGUGACUUCCUUCUGCCUCAUUGAUGCGAAACUGAUAAUAAACAUGCAAGAGAAUACAGCUAUAGUUACUCUGGACUGCCAUGAUAGAAACAUUGAAACAGAUAUUGACUGGCUUUAGGUAUGUGAGACGUUUUUAUUGGUGUUGCAAACGAUGUAACGAUCACUAAAUUCUGUGCCUAUGUGAGAUUUGUUGGUUCAUCGAAUAACAUCAAACUUACAGUUGUUACUCAACGUUUCCCUCAUUAAUUACUCUUCCACUCAAACUUCUCUGGGAUUGGUGGAAAAAGGAGAGAAAACUUCGACUGAAAUACGAUAAGGAAGGUAAACGGUCAAGCAAAGUGUGCAAGGUCGUUGAUGGAGUAUUCCAUGUGAAAUCCUCUCACCGGUCUGAGCCCCACCAACUGAACAUCAGAGGACCAACUUGCACCUGCAGACAUAUUUUUCAAGCUAUUGAUGAUGGUUUAAUGAAAUGCAAUGGGAGGACCUACCUGAAUAUUACAGAAACAUACUGUUCUUCGUAAAAGAUAAAGGAAGUGAUAUUGGGAUAUGGCCAGCUGAUGCAGAUGUAAACAAAUGCUGCGAUUAUCCAGCAUCAGAAGACGAGGAUGAAGAAGUAGAAGAUGAUGAGGUUGGAGGAAAUGGGGAUAAAAGAAAGAAGAAACGGGACAUAGACUAUAAAGGAGAUUGGCGGGAGCUUUCAAACAGAAUAACUUCCUUCGUUAAUGAUCCUGAGUUUGACGUGAUGGACGAUGAUGUCUGUGCAUUAUUACAGGGUGGCCCAUAAGUGACUACCCACACGCAACCUCUUAAUAACUCACGUAAUUCGUCUCCAAAUUGCACCAAAAUUUCAGAGAUUAUAGAUAUGGGUCAAACUUAGAUUUCCUGAAAGUUUCGUAAGCCACGCCCAAUUAUAGUGGGCGUGGCGUGACACUCCCUCUUUUUCACUAUUGUCUUCAUAAAAUAUAUAUAUAAGAAACUGUCAGAUACCGUCAAUGAUGUGGCAUCCUAUAUUUACAAAAGAAACUAAAUUAGAUAACAUAGAUAAGAUAAUGUUUGAUAAUAUAUUACUUUAAAAGCCGUGCAAUCAUUUUAGAUAUUAGAUAUUAAACUAACCAUAUUAUGAUAUUCUCCGUCUAACUAUUCGAUCUGUCUCCAUCUCACUAUUCAAUCGGUCUCAACGUUCAUUCUCUGUUUAACUAUUCAAUCUCUGUCUCAGUGUUCAUUUUCUUGUUUAACUAUUCAAUCUUUGUCUCAGCGUUCAUUCUCUGUCUCGACAUUUAUUCUCCGUCUGACUAUUUAAUCUGUCUCAAUGUUCAUUCUCUGUCUCGACGUUCAUUCUCCGUCUCACUAUUCAAUCUGUCUCAAUGUUCAUUCUCUGUCUCGACGUUCAUUCUCCGUCUCACUAUUCAAUCUGUCUCAAUGUUCAUUCUCUGUCUCGACGUUCAUUCUCCGUCUCACUAUUCAAUCUGUCUCGACGUUCAUUAUUUGUUUAACUAUUCAAUCUCUUUCUCAGUGAUCAUUCUUUGUUUAACUAUUAAAUCACUGUUCAUUCCUGUCUCGACGUUAAUUCUCCGUCUCAUUAUUCAAUCUCUGCAUCAGUGUUCAUUCUCUAUUUUAGAGUCAAUUCCCUGUCUUACCUAUCAAUCUUUCUCGGUGUUCAUUCCCUGUCUGACUGUUCAAUUUCUGUCUCACUGUCCAUUCUCUGUCUCGCUGUUCAAUCUUCGUGUUUCUUUCAAAGUGUUACAGUGACAAGGAGACCGAAUGAUAUUGUUGUAAAAUAAAAAGCUUGUCCGCUUUAGUUAUAGUGAUAUUAAAACAUAUACAACACCAUGUAUUAUGAAAUUUUAGAUUUUGUUACAAAAUA